rnacentral:rRNA from 1 species
AGUGAACGCUGGCGGUAGGCCUAACACAUGCAAGUCGAACGGCAGCACAGUAAGAGCUUGCUCUUACGGGUGGCGAGUGGCGGACGGGUGAGGAAUACAUCGGAAUCUACUUUUUCGUGGGGGAUAACGUAGGGAAACUUACGCUAAUACCGCAUACGACCUACGGGUGAAAGCAGGGGAUCUUCGGACCUUGCGCGAUUGAAUGAGCCGAUGUCGGAUUAGCUAGUUGGCGGGGUAAAGGCCCACCAAGGCGACGAUCCGUAGCCGGUCUGAGAGGAUGAUCAGCCACACGGGAACGGGGACACGGUCCAGAAUCCUAAGGGAGGCAGCAGUGGGGAAUAUUGGACAAUGGGCGCAAGCCUGAUCCAGCCAUACCGCGUGGGUGAAGAAGGCCUUCGGGUUGUAAAGCCCUUUUGUUGGGAAAGAAAAGCAGCAGGUUAAUACCACGCUGUUCUGACGGUACCCAAAGAAUAAGCACCGGCUAACUUCGUG